rnacentral:rRNA from 1 species
UACGGAAGGGGCAAGCGUUGUUCGGAAUCAUUGGGCGUAAAGGGCGCGUAGGUGGUUCUGUAUGUCUACCGUGAAAGCAUACAGCUCAACUGUAUUUUGUCGGUAGAAACUGCAGGACUUGAGGCUGGGAGGGGCUGGUGGAAUUCCCUGUGUAGCGGUGAAAUGCGCAGAUAUCAGGAGGAACACCAGCGGCGAAGGCGGCGCUCUGGGCCGGAACUGACGCUGAGGAGCGAAAGCGUGGGUAGCAAACAGG